rnacentral:misc_RNA from 2 species
AAUUCUCAACUCCAUUUGAUUUGUUUCAAACAUGGAGCUUGGACUUGGAGUGUGCUGGCGUUAACCGUCGGCUCCUCUCAAAUGCAUCGGCGGAAUUGAACCUUUGACCUCCGGAUGUCAGUGUGAUAAUUAAACGUUGCGCUGUCGACCGGGGGGUUGGAGUCCGCUUACAAUCGUCCUCGGACAACUUAUCAA